rnacentral:rRNA from 1 species
GACUUGACAUCUCGAGAAUCUGACUUAAUAGUCGGAGUGCCUUAGGGAACUCGAAGACAGGUGGUGCAUGGCUGUCGUCAGCUCGUGUCGUGAGAUGUUGGGUUAAGUCCCGCAACGAGCGCAACCCUCGUUCUUAGUUGCCAGCAUUAAGUUGGGCACUUUAGGAAGACUGCCGGUGACAAACCGGAGGAAGGUGGGGAUGACGUCAAGUCAGCAUGCCCCUUACGUUCUGGGCUACACACGUACUACAAUGGUUGGGACAAAGGGCAGCGAGCGAGCGAUCGUAAGCGAAUCUCAUCAAACCCAGCCUCAGUUCAGAUUGCAGGCUGCAACUCGCCUGCAUGAAGGAGGAAUCGCUAGUAAUCGCAGGUCAGCAUACUGCGGUGAAUUCGUUCCCGG